AUUGAACGCUGGCGGCAUGCCUUACACAUGCAAGUCGAACGGCAGCACGGACUUCGGUCUGGUUGCGAGUGGCGAACGGGUGAGUAAUGUAUCGGAACGUACCUCUCAGUGGGGGAUAACGUAGCGAAAGUUACGCUAAUACCGCAUAUUCUGUGAGCAGGAAAGCAGGGGAUCGAAAGACCUUGCGCUGGUUGAGCGGCCGAUAUCAGAUUAGCUAGUUGGUGGGGUAAAGGCCUACCAAGGCGACGAUCUGUAGCGGGUCUGAGAGGAUGAUCGGCCACACUGGAACUUAGACACGGUCCAGACUCCUACGGGAGGCAGCAGUGGGGAAUGUUGGACAAUGGGGGCAACCCUGAUCCAGCCAUGCCGCGUGAGUGAAGAAGGCCUUCGGGUUGUAAAGCUCUUUCGGCGGGGAAGAAACCGCAUAGGCUAAUACCCUGUGUGGAUGACGGUACCGGAAUAAGAAGCACCGGCUAACUACGUG
rnacentral:rRNA from 1 species